rnacentral:rRNA from 1 species
CUACGGGUUGCACCAGUGAGGAAUAUUGCACAAUGGGGGGAACCCUGAUGCAGCAACGCCGCGUGGAGGAUGACGCAUUUCGGUGUGUAAACUCCUUUUAUAUGUCAAGAAAAUGACGGUAGCAUAUGAAUAAGCACCGGCUAACUCCGUGCCAGCAGCCACGGUAAUACGGAGGGUGCAAGCGUUACUCGGAAUCACUGGGCGUAAAGGACGCGUAGGCGGGUUGGAAAGUCAGGUGUGAAAUCCUACAGCUUAACUGUAGAACUGCACUUGAAACUUCUAAUCUAGAGUAUGGGAGGGGGAGAUGGAAUUAGUGGUGUAGGGGUAAAAUCCGUAGAUAUCACUAGGAAUACCUAAAGCGAAGGCGAUCUCCUGGAACAUUAUUGACGCUGAGAUGCGAAAGCGUGGGGAGCAAACAGGAUUAGAUACCCCCGUAGUC